ACGGGUGAGUAACACGUGGGCAACCUGCCCCUUAGACUGGGAUAACUCCGGGAAACCGGAGCUAAUACCGGAUAAUCCCUUUCUCCACCUGGAGAGAGGGUGAAAGAUGGCUUCGGCUAUCACUAGGGGAUGGGCCCGCGGCGCAUUAGCUAGUUGGUAAGGUAACGGCUUACCAAGGCAACGAUGCGUAGCCGACCUGAGAGGGUGAUCGGCCACACUGGGACUGAGACACGGCCCAGACUCCUACGGGAGGCAGCAGUAGGGGAUCUUCCGCAAUGGACGAAAGUCUGACGGAGCAACGCCGCGUGAGUGAGGAAGGCCUUCGGGUCGUAAAGCUCUGUUGUGAGGGAAGAAGCGGUACCGUUCGAAUAGGGCGGUACCUUGACGGUACCUCACCAGAAAGCCACGGCUAACUACGUGCCAGCAGCCGCGGUAAUACGUAGGUGGCAAGCGUUGUCCGGAAUUAUUGGGCGUAAAGCGCGCGCAGGCGGCUUCUUAAGUCUGAUGUGAAAUCUCGGGGCUCAACCCCGAGCGGCCAUUGGAAACUGGGGAGCUUGAGUGCAGAAGAGGAGAGUGGAAUUCC
rnacentral:rRNA from 1 species